AGUGAACGCUGGCGGUAGGCCUAACACAUGCAAGUCGAACGGCAGCACAGUAAGAGCUUGCUCUUACGGGUGGCGAGUGGCGGACGGGUGAGGAAUACAUCGGAAUCUACUUUUUCGUGGGGGAUAACGUAGGGAAACUUACGCUAAUACCUCAUACGACCUACGGGUGAAAGCAGGGGAUCUUCGGACCUUGCUCGAUUGAAUGAGCCGAUGUCGGAUUAGCUAGUUGGCGGGGUAAAGGCCCACCAAGGCGACGAUCCGUAGCUGGUCUGAGAGGAUGAUCAGCCACACUGGAACUGAGACACGGUCCAGACUACUACGGGAGGCAGCAGUGGGGAAUAUUGGACAAUGGGCGCAAGCAUGAUCCAGCCAUACCGCGUGGGUGAAGAAGGCCUUCGGGUUGUAAAGCCCUUUUGUUGGGAAAGAAAAGCAGCAGGUUAAUACCCCGCUGUUCUGACGGUACCAAAAGAAUAAGCACCGGCUAACUUCGUG
rnacentral:rRNA from 1 species